AUACUUACCUGGCAGGGGAGAAACCAUGAUCAUGAAGGUGGUUCACCCAGGGCGAGGCUCAGCCAUUGCACUUCGGUUGUGCUGACCCUUGCGAAUUCCCCAAAUGUGGGAAUCUCGACUGCAUAGUUUUGUGGUAGUGGGGGACUGCGUCCGCGCUCUCCCCUG